rnacentral:rRNA from 1 species
AACGAACGCUGGCGGCAGGCCUAACACAUGCAAGUCGAGCGAGGACUUCGGUCCUAGCGGCGGACGGGUGAGUAACGCGUGGGAACGUGCCCUUUGCUACGGAAUAGCCCCGGGAAACUGGGAGUAAUACCGUAUGUGCCCUUCGGGGGAAAGAUUUAUCGGCAAAGGAUCGGCCCGCGUUGGAUUAGGUAGGUGGUGGGGUAAUGGCCUACCAAGCCGACGAUCCAUAGCUGGUUUGAGAGGAUGAUCGGCCACACUGGGACUGAGACUCGGCCCAGACUCCUACGGGAGGCAGCAGUGGGGAAUCCUAGACAAUGGGGGAAACCCUGAUCUAGCCAUGCCGCGUGAGCGAUGAAGGCCUUAGGGUUGUAAAGCUCUUUCAGUGGGGAAGAUAAUGACGGUAUCCGGAGAAGAAGCCCCGGCUAACUUCGUGCCAGCAGCCGCCGUAAUAC